GACAGGGGUCUCGAGCGUUAAUCGGAAUCACUGGGCUUAAAGGGUGCGUAGGCCGCCUCGUAAGUGCUUUGUGAAAGCCCCCGGCUCAACCGGGGAACUGCAGGGCAUACUGCGAGGCUUGAGGAAACUAGAGGCCGGUAGAACGAUAGGUGGAGCGGUGGAAUGCGUAGAUAUCUAUCGGAAUGCCGAAAGUGAAGACAGCCGGCUGGGGUUUUCCGUGACGCUGGAGGCACGAAAGCGUGGGGAGCAAACCGG
rnacentral:rRNA from 1 species